UACGAAGGGUGCAAGCGUUAAUCGGAAUUACUGGGCGUAAAGGGUGCGUAGGCGGUUAUUUAAGUCUGCCGUGAAAUCCCCGGGCUCAACCUGGGAAUGGCGGUGGAUACUGGAUAGCUAGAGUGUGUCAGAGGAUGGUGGAAUUCCCGGUGUAGCGGUGAAUGCGUAGAGAUCGGGAGGAACAUCAGUGGCGAAGGCGGCCAUCUGGGACAACACUGACGCUGAAGCACGAAAGCGUGGGGAGCAAACAGG
rnacentral:rRNA from 1 species